rnacentral:tRNA from 1 species
CUCCAGUUAGCCUAGUGGUUAAAGCUUUGGAUCGCCAACCCGGAGACGGCGGGUUCGAUUCCCGUUCUGGUCG